UCUAAAUAAAUGUAAGUAUAUUAAUACUUUAAAGUUGUUAAUAUGACAGUUAAUAUGUCACUUUUCUCACUGUGCACAGUAAGUCGGGUAAGUGAAAAAAAUAAGCAGCAACGACUGCAGCAGCGGAAAACCGUUAAGAAAUCUCGUUUGUGUGGGGCCCAAGUCUGGAGUUGGGAAUUCUUCAUAUGGAGUAUAUAUAUAUAUUCUAUAUAUAUAUGCUGUCAUGGCAUUCUACGAACGAGAGAAAAUGGUGUUGUAGGCGGCAAUGCCAAGUGAAAGGCUUAUGGCCCUAACUCAGCCACCCUGCGGCUGACUCCCCCUUCAUAUUGAUUGAUUAGCCCGGCCAUAACUUCCGUCAUGUACACAUUUUCUGCACACUCUUCAGCUCACCGAAUUGUAUUUCUUUUCAGUCGGUUCUUUUUGUUGGUUGCGUUGGGUGCUAACUCGUUUAGCAGGUUGCUUAUUGGCUUUAGUGGAUUUUGUCAUUAGCCCAAGAAUUUUUAUAGCACAAACGUAUGCGAUAUGUUUAUGACACAAAUAUGGCUAAGCCUACACUGAGGAAUAAAUACCAAUGUUGAUAAA
rnacentral:sRNA from 1 species